rnacentral:tRNA from 1 species
GGAGAGUACAGCUCAGUGGUAGAGCACAUGCUUAGCAUGCACAAGGUCCUGGGUUCAAUCCCCAGUGCCUCCA